AGCGCGGGGACGCCCGACGCCGCCUCCCAGCCCUCCGCGCCCACCUCCCUCCCUGCCACCGGGACUGACCGCGGGGGGGCGCUGCGGCAUGCUGGACCGCUCAGUGCUGUGGCUUCCGGUAACCUAAGGGCGGGGGCGUGGUACCUGGCCACUGAGCCGAGUGGGCAGCGAUUUUCUUACUUGUAAAGAGUAAGUGCUGUGUUUUGUGUUUUAUUAAGGUAAAAAUCCCGUAACCCACGUUUUUGACAGAAAUUGAAAAAUACAGGAAACUAGAAAUCACCUUUCACCCCAAACACCUGGUGAGAUACGCAGAAAUAAUGUAUAUACAUAGGCAUGUACAAGAAUCUCUGAAACCUCUUCUUCCUGCACCAAACACAUAAAAAUGAAAUUCUUAAAA